ensembl:lncRNA
AGAUCUUCAGAUCCCCUCCCACAAGGCCUCCAGGCGUGAAGGGGAGAAGGCUCUGAUGAUGAUGACUCAUUAUUGUCCUGUUUGCAAGGCUUUUCUCAUGUAGAUCUCUCUGACUUUAAGGGGAAAAGACAUACUGCUGCAUCGUUGAUCUCCUGACGCUUCUCUGGUCCAGCCAUUGUCUGCUUGCCGCAUCUCAUCUCUGUCAGCAAUGGAUCCUCAGCACAGCACACAGCCUUCCUGGAAAAGUGAUGUCCUUCACUAUGUCAUUGCUUUCAUUUCCUUCUGAACACCCAGCUCUUCCCCCGUCCCCUCAGAUUUGUUAUCCUGGGAUUCACCACAGUUAGCCAGACGGUUUUUAUUAA